rnacentral:tRNA from 1 species
GCCCAGGUGAUGGAACUGGUAUACAUUGGGGACUUAAAAUCCCCCGCCCGUAAGGGAUUGAGGGUUCAAAUCCCUCCCUGGGCACCA